rnacentral:rRNA from 1 species
GACGAACGCUGGCGGCGUGCUUAACACAUGCAAGUCGAGCGGAGCGGCGAACGGGUGAGUAACGCGUGAGUAACUGCCCCCCUCUCUGGGAUAACAGUUGGAAACGGCUGCUAAUACCGGAUAGUGGGGGAUGAAUCGCGUCCUAUCAGCUGGUGGGUGGGGUAUGGGCCUACCAAGGCGACGACGGGUAGCCGGCCGUAGAGGGCGACCGGCCACAUUGGGCUGAGAUACGGCACAAACAGCUACGGUGGGCAGCGGGGGGGAAUAUUGCGCAGUGGGGGAAACCCUGAUGCAGAAACGCCGCGUGCGGGAUGACGGCUUUCGGGUGGUAAACCGCUUUCAGCCAUGACGCGGUAGUGGCAGAAGAAGCACCGGCUAACUACGUGCCAGCAGCCGCGGUAAUAC